GGGCCGCUCCCGCAGCAUAUGGAUGUUCCCAGGUUAGGGGUCUAAUCGGAGCUACAGCCGCUGGCCUACACCACAGCCACAGCAACGUGGUAUCCGAGCCACGUCUGCGACCUAUACCACAGCUCACAGCAACGCCGGAUCCUUAACCCACUGAGCAAGGCCAGGGAUCGAACCCGCAACCGCAUGGUUCCUAGUCAGAUUCGUUAACCACUGCGCCACGACGGGAACUCCAAGAGCUUCAGUUCUUUGGACUAAUCCAGAGAAGCAUGAGCAUUUACUGAGUGCUUGCCCAAGACUGCAUGCGCUUUAUUUCAACCUUAUGUGCCAAGGGUCUCCCAUUUACACAUGAGAAAAACAGACUCAGAGAGGUGAAGUGAGUUGCCUAAAAUCACAUAGCCGGCCAGGAGCAGAGCCACAGGUCGCUCGUGGGUGCUCUGCUACGCAACUUAAACAGCUUUCAGAAUCUCUCUCCAUCUAGGAUCACGGCCUUGGAUGUCAUAGGCGGUGUGCUAAAGCUCUUGUGUUUUGGUCUACCUGACCCCUGGUGCCCAGAUUUAUAGAUGAUGGUUAUUUUUGCUCUUGCUUUAAAAAAUCUGAUCUGGACUGAGGGCCCAGCUAUCCUAGACCUUUAGAAUUAGAAGUACCCUGUCCCCUCAGUGUCCUGAAACAAAAUGGGCUGGGGCUUCUGACAGACACACCCUCAGUACGUGCACACACACCUGUUCAGGUACACACGUUUCUGCACACUGACAUGGAGACACCUGCACACGUGAGUAGGCACAUUUGAGAACCCAGGCCCAGGGACACGUGCAUACAGAGCCAUGUCUUUGUGGAAGCAAGGGCACAGAUCAGCACACAGUUAUAGGAACAUGUAAACGCAAGCCAACCUCACAAAGUCCUCAGGAGCCACCCCUCCCUUUGUGCUGUCUCUGCCAGUUCCUCGCUGCCCCCUCCUGGCCGCCUGGUGGCCAGGGCAACCUGGCACCAUUUCCUCUUCUGCUCCGGGGUGGUUGUCCACUAGUUUCCUCCUAGAUCAUGAGGCUAGGAGCAGUUUCAGGUGCUCCCCAAGACCAGCAACCUGCCUCAGCUCCAGGAGUUGAGGGUGACUAGUGGGGGAGUCUGAAGCUAGAGGACAAAAAAAUAAGCCUUUUACACCCAAAAGACUCUCGUCAUGGUAGAAUUGUCAGUGCCAUGGUGGCAGGAGUCUGCAUAGACACCCUCCCGCCACAGCCAGCAGCCACCCACCCUUGCCUCAGAAGCUGUACACACACCUGCUCACACUCUGCAUACAUAUUUAAAGAGGAGUAGAUCAGGACUUCUCUGGUGGGAUUUCCGCGUGUUGCAGGCAUGGCUAAAAAAACAAAGAGGAGCAGAUUUCCCGGCUGAGAAGUCAGAGGUCAGGUCUUGGAGCUUUGACCUUGCAGCUCCGUCUCUAGGCCUCAGCUUCCUCCCCUGUUCAAGAAGGGGUUGGCCAGGAUGAUGGAUGCUGCCCCUCCCCUCUGAUGUCUCACUGUGCUUGAGUAAAGCACAUUCAUAAACGUGACCCAGUGGACUCCUUAAGCCAGUCCUGCAAGGAUUACCCACACAAAGCUUUUUAUUCCUAUUUUAUAGUUGAAGAAACAGAAGCACAGAGAGGCGCAGUAAUUUUCCCAAGGUCACACAGCUAGUUGGCUGCAGGCAUGGAAACAGAAACAUCUUUCCAGGGCCCCGAGCUGCCCAUAAGAAAGUAGAACACCCCGUGGGCUCGGGCCCAAAACUAAGGAGAUUGGAACUACAGAAGCGAAAGCCAGAACCUCUGUCCUUCUGUCUGGGAGCCCAGAAGGAGAACCGAGGGGAGGUCCCAGACUAAGGCAUUAGCAUAGAGGCUGGGCAAAAGCAACCUGGAACCUGGGUGAGUUCCACUGCGUGCCACCCCCACCUGUAGGCUGCGGGAACCUCCAGCUCCCUAUGCCCCUACAAAGCCAGUGGCUGGCUCUGGGCCUUCUCCCUCUUCAGUGCCCACUUGCUAGUUCAUCAGGGUAGGCACAUACACAUGAGGGGUGUGCACGCGUGUUUGGACACUGUUCUUGCAUACCCUACAGGUACACUUAGGUGUACGUUCGUAGACAUGUGUGACAUGUAAAUUAUGCGCUUGCAAGCUUGUGUACAUGUGGCCGUUGCAUUUGUGUGUUUAGGUGAAGUGUGCUUGGACGUGCCUAUGUAAAUCGUCUCUGCAUAUCUGGCAGGUGAAUUUAUGGACAUGUAAGAUUUUGCUUGUAUGCGUACCGGGUUUGUUCACGAGUAUCCUUGGGUAUGUGCAAAUGUUCACAUCCAUUUGUGUGAGGAAGUGGGGUGGAGCAUGUCCACCCACACACAUGACUGGUAAGUGUGUGUUGAAGUGUGUGUGGGGAAGGCUUAGGUGACUGGAUGCACAUGAAUCUUGGGAGUCCCCUCCCAGGAGAAUACGAUGCCAGUGUCCCCCCAGCCCUGGUAUAGGGGGUGCCCUGCCUGGAUCUAGCCAGGCACUGAGCUCACAGCACCCCCACCCCGCCUCUCACACUAUUCCCCAGACCCAUCCUGCUUGGCCAAUUUGCAGCCUCUCGCUCCCAGCUCCUGAGAAGGCCUGCAGCAAAGUCAAGGGGCUGGUGGCCAAUUAGCGAGGGGGUUAAUCAGGGAUCUGGGGACCCCCCGGGGGGCGGGAAGCCAAAGGCAGGCAUUGGGACUGGCAGGAGCAUGAGCUGCCUGUCACGAGGCUGGGGGAGGGGAGGCUGAGCCAGCCGGAUGGUGCUAGAAACCAAGGGUCUGCCUGUGAAUUCAUGAUUGCUGAGCACUGACAGUGAGGAGCCUGUGUACAUUGUGUGUGUGUGUACAUUGUGUGCAGAAGGACAUGUACCUGCACUCAAGUCCUCGAAUGUGGUCCUGUAUGCAAAUGACAGCGGACCCUCUCUGUAUGCACAUGUGCAGUUUUGUGUCUGUAUAUAUGUGGGUGUGCAGUGGUGUGCAGAUGCAUCUGGGUACGCAUGCAUGUCUGGACCUACGUGCACACAUGUAUAUACAAGGGUAAAUGUGUGUCUGUGUGUAUAAAUGUGUGUGCAAGGGCAUGUGCAUACAUUUAAGUGCGUGCUUCUGCAUGCAAAGCUUUGCAUGUGAAGUUGGUCUACGUACCUGUGCUAUGAUAGGGAGCUGUGCACAGGUGGACCGAAGUGCAGAUACACCCAGAUAUACAUGCACGUCUGGAUGUGUGUGCCUGUGUGUGUGUUCUCUGAACCCUCACAUGGGUGCCUGUGUGCACCUGCUUAUGCACACAGGUCUCAGCAUGUAGGGAGCUGGGGGAUGGGGGGCUGGCAGGCUCCAGGCUCCAGGAGAGAAUCUGACAGACGAGACUUGCCGCAGCCCCCGGCCCCGGGAGCCUGUUUUCCAGCCUGCAGAAGCUGUGAGCCCGUGAACUCAUCUUAUAUUAAUAGCUGCUGUCUCCUCACUUAUUGCAAGGAGAGGCGGUCAUGGCCCAGGCGGGGGCUGGCCCCCUCCCCCACAGAGGACCUGGAACUAAGGGGACGAGCAAUGGGCCCCACCCCCACUCCAAGGCCAACCCCAGCAGAAAGGCAGGGCUCUGGCCCCAGCCCUUGGCUCCCCCAAGUCAUGGAGCCCCCACUGCCCAGCUCACCCUCCCGGGCCUCUGUAACUGGGUGGGGUCAGGCGUGGGGUUGGACAACUGGCAAAGGCAGAAAGGCUGGAAAGCUUGGCUCCCCACCCUCCAAACACACACAGACACACGCACGCAUGCACGCACGCACGUGUGCACACAGGCAUGUGGUUCUGAGCAGCCCCAGGCUGAGCACCAGAUGAGUCUGAGGCUGAAUGAGACAUAGAAGGUUUCUGCUUGAGGGAGCGGACGUGUCCCUUCUCUCAGCCCAAGGAGGGACGCAGCCUUCAGGGACCCCCAUUCUGAUGAGGAAGGCAAGACGUCUCUCUAAAUAUUUACUAAGGAGCAGUAGCAAGGUAUGUUGUACAAAGCACAUUUCACAGCCACAGGAGGGCUUAGCCGUGGAGACUUCCUGGAGGAAAUACGGGGCGGGGGUGCAGGGAGAACUUGAGCUCCAUCUGCAGAAUCCCAGGAGGAGGGAGAAGCCAGCCAGCCCCACCACGAGCACAGGCUCAAACCCGGGCAGAUUCAGAUAUUCUCGGGGGAGGGGGCCCAGGAUCCAAGGCAGAGACCAGAGAGGCAGGCUCCCAGAAAUGCCUCAGAGCCCCACAACCACAGUCACACAGACAGAGGAGGAGGACCUGCAGCAUGAGAGACCUCACAGGCCCUCGCAGACACGAGGCUGGCAAGCGUUAGGCCCUGCUGGACCUGGGACCCAGGAGCUAGGACAGAGAAGCAAAGGGCCAAGGCCACCAGGCUGGGAGAGACCCCCGGCCCCUCUCCUUCGACCUGGGCCAGGGUCCCCUGGGAGGGUGGCAGAGGCAGCAAGGACAUUACACUGCCCCUCUCAAAGGUCUAGGGGUAGCCUAGAGACCCCUAAAUUCUGCCCGCCUCCAGGGGCAGGGCUGCUUGCCUGGCGCCCUUGUUUGCUGUUUCUGAGCUGCUCCUGAACCCCAUUCCUCACCCAGGAAAGAAACAGUCAGAUGAACCUGGGUUCAAAUCUCAGCUCAACUCCUUACUUGUGGCCUGAGGCAAAUCAAAUGUCACCUGCAGUAAGGCCUUUUUGGGCUCAUUUAAAGAUCACACGCCCUCCGCAUGCCACCUCUCGAUUUGUCUGAGGACUUCUCACUCGCUGACAUAACCUUGUUUUAACUUCUUUCUCUAUUACUGUCUCCCCCUGGGUAGAAUUUAAGCGGCCCACCAGGACAGCAGCGAAUGUCUAUUAUUCCCAGAGCUUCAACUUUCCCUUCUGUAAAAUGGGGAGAGCAAUGAUCCCACCCAGGGGGCCAUGGUAAUGGUAUGUGGAAUGUCUGCUAUGAGGGAGGUGCUGGCUGAGUGGGGGGGGUCUUUUCCCAGGGACCUUCUCGGAAGGUAGGGAGAGAAGAUAAGGCUCGACCCGACCUGGGGGAAGGGGCUCCCAACUUUGUGCCUGCAUUGGAACUGUGUGUAGCUCAGCCCAGGCCUGCCCACACCGUCUCUGCCCCAGCCCUUGUUGGCAUGACCACUCCCCUUGGUGGGGAGGAGUCUUGAACACCAGGCAAAAGGUCUCUGCCGUGGAGCUCCCGCUGUGGUGCAAUGGGAUCGGCAGCGUCAUGGGAGUGCUGGGACACAGGUUUGAUCCCCAGCCUGGUGCAGUGGGUUAAGGAUCCGGUGUUGCCGCAGCUAUGCCAUAAGUCACAAUUGUGGCUUGGAUCUGAUCCCUGAACCAGGAACUCAUAUGGCUCCGGG
ensembl:lncRNA